AUGUCGCCAGCAGCCUCAUGCCAAAUUCCUGAUCCCUGGAGGACAGAGCCCCCCUCCUGCUCCAAGGCCAGGAGAUGGCACCACUGGACAGUGAGUCUGGGAUUCCUAGCACACACUUGUGAUUGCUGGUCCAGGAAAAAGAAGCAGGAAGGGCCAUUAGUACAAUCAAUCAGGAAAUUCUGCUUAAGUGCACAUUUCUCCCCAGGAGAGUCGGGUCACUGCACUGGGAGGAAGCCCGCUUGCCAAGGGCUGUGUCUGGAACCUAUUCAUCGCGCUCCACUCAGCACGCUGACAGACACCCACAGACGUGUCUGUAGCAUCCUCUGUCACACUGGGACCCGUACUGGCAGCAGGAGCCGUAGGGAGGACUGGGACACCUGGAAGCCAGGAAUUGGUUGAAGAAUUUGUGACCGUGGAUAAGUUUGUUUCCUGUUAUGUGAACUUGGCAGAUUAAUGCUAAAUCCUGUGGGACAGCAUUUAGCAACACCUAAAAAAGUACUCAAUUAUGAUUUUUUGUGUACUAAAUGAUUAUGGAAAUACUAAUUCUGUGUGGAAAGAACACACUCAAACUCAAAGGGCUUUUUCUAUGCUUUCAAUAACAACAAUCAACACAGAAGACUUUUGUGACCAAAAGCGUGGGUUUUCUCCCUACCAAAAGGCAAGCAGUGUAUCCUGCGGUGGACAGCAACUGGGUCUCUUCCAAUUCAGUUUUGACAUUCUCUACCCUGGAGAUAGUUUCAGAGCCCAUAGGUUGAUGGCUUAGUCCCCACAUCCCUCCCUCCCUUCCCGCCACUCCCUACCAUUCAGGUAUCAGUGGUAAGUCUGGACCAAUUAUAACCCACAGGUUUCAAGUUGGAGUUCUUGUGCUCUCUUUGGGUUUAACUUGCUAUUGUGGCUCGCAGAACUCAGGGAAACACUUACUCAUCUUCACAGUCUUCUUUCAUUUCUAUUUUUGUAGAGAUGGAGUCUCUCUAUGUUGCCCAGGCUGAACUCCUGGCCUCAAGUGAUCUUCCCAUCUUGGUCUCCCAAAGUGCUGGGAUUACAGGUGUGAGCCACCAUACCUAACUCUCAGGUUUCUUUCUUUUUCUUUUUUUUNNNNNNNNNNNNNNNNNNNNCUCGCACCCUGUGGCCCAUGCUGGAGUGCAGUGGUGCAAUCUCAGCUCGCUGUAACCUCCACUGCCCAGAUUCAAGCUAUUCUCCUGCCUUGGCCUCCCAAAUAGCUGGGAUUAUAGGUGCACACCACCACGCCUGGCUAAUUUUUGUAUUUUUAGUAGAGACGGGGCUUCACCAUGUUGGCCAGGCUGGUCACGAGCUCCUGACCUCAAGUGAUCCACCCACUUUGGCCCCCCCAAAGUGCUGGGAUUACAGGCAUGAGCCACUGCACCCAGCCAAGGAUAUUUUAAAGGAUACAAAUAAACAUCCAGGUGAAGAGAUACAUAGGGUGAGGUCUAGAAGGGUCUUGAGCACAGUAGCUUCUGUCUCUGGGGUUAGGGUGUGCCACCCUCCCAGCUGAUGGAUAAGUUCUUGUUUACCUUCCUAUAAGCCUGCAUGUGUUGAGCUGUCCGGGAGCUUUCUGAAUCCUGUACUCUGGGGCCUUUUCUUGAGACCUCAUUGGAUAGGCAUGAUUCAUAACUAUGUAGAAAUUGGCUGGACAAAAAAAGUAGAAUCUAAUACUGAUAGACUGAAUGGGAAAAUCCACCAAGCCCUGUCUGUUCAGAUUCUUUUUGGCUUCUCUAUGUAGCAUUCCUUCCUCCAUGAUAUGAGACAGGACCCCUUCUGAAAUGAAUGUCUGAUGACCCACAAUCAGAAAAGCUGGGAAGAUUAGACUCCUUGCUUGGGCAGGUGAAGGACAGCAGGAGAAGGUCAGUGAGAGAGAUUCUGUCUUCUCAAUCCUGCCUCUGAAGCCUACAGUGCCACAGCAGUAUAACAGGGGCUGUGACAGUUGUGAGCCAGGAAAAAUACAAAAAUUAGCCAGGUGUGGUGGUGCAUGCCUGUAAACCCAGCUACCCGGGAGGCUGAGGUGGGAGAAGUGCUGGAACCAAGGAGGCGGAGGCUGCAGUGAGCCAAGAUCAUGCCACUGCACUCCAGCCUGGGUGACAGACUGUGACUUGGUUGAAAUUAAAAAAAAAAGUUCCACAUAUCCCUUAGGGCAGAGGCACACUGCAGCCAAGCUCUUUGCUAAGGAAAAACAAAAGUGACCUGUGCUUCAGUUCCCAAUAAAUACUUAUAAGUAUUGUCCUUUCCAUCUGAGACCUCCUCAGCCUGAACUUUAUAUCACUAUCAGCAUUUUGGUCACAACCAUUCAGCAAGCCUCUAUAAAGUCUCAAACUGCCUCAUCUUCCUGUUGUCUUCUGAGCCCUCCACACUCUUCCAAACCUCUGCCUGUUAAGAAGUUCCAAAACCAAUUCCACAUUUUCAGAUAUCUUGAUAGCAAUGUGCCACUUCUCAGUACCAAUUUUCUUGUAUUAUUCCAUUCUUGCAGCAUGAUAAACAAAUACCUGAGACUGGGUAAUUUAUAAAGAAAAGAGGUUGAAUUGGCCCAUGAUUCUGCAGACUGCACAGGAAGCAUGGUACUGGAAGGAUGGCAUCUGCUCAGCUUCUAGGGAGGCCUCAGGAAACUGACAAUCAUGGUGGAAGGCAAAGGGGGAGCAGCAGUUCACAUGGCCAGAGAAGGAGCAAGAGAGAACAGGGCAAGGUGCCACAGACUUUUAAAUGACCGGUUCUCACAAGAACUUACUAUCACAAGACCAGCACCACAGGGAUAGUGCUAAACCAUUCAUGAAGGACCACCAUCCAAUCACCUCCCACAAGGCCCCACCUUCAAUAUUGGGAAUUACAAUUCGACAUGAGAUUUGGGUGGAGAUUCAAAUCCAAACCACGUCCUUUUGCUUUUUUCUGUUUUGUUUGUGGAGUAGAUUUUUCUCCAUCCCUUUACUUCGAGCCUAAGGGUGUCAUUGCAUGUGAGAUGGGUCUCUUGAAGACAGCAUACCAUUGGAUCUUGCUUUUUUAUCCAAGUUGCCACUGUGCCUUUUAAUUGGGGCAUUUAGCCUGCUUACAUUCAAGGUUAGUAUUUAUAUGUGUAGAUUUGAUCCUAUCAUGUUGUUAGCUGGUUAUUAUGCAGACUUGUUUGUGUGGUUGUUUUAUAGUGUCACUGGUCUAUGUACUUAAGUGUGCUUUUGUGGUGGCUGGUAAUGGUUUUUUCUUUCCAUAUUUAGCACUCCCUUCAGGACCUCUUGUACAGAUGUUCUCUUUCAUUGUAAUCACACAGGAUGGGCUAUGUCACCCAAAUAACAAGUGGUGGUGAUUAACAUGUGAAAUGUUAUCUGCCAGGGUCACGCAUUACAGACUCUGUGCCCAGAGUAUUUUUUCAUGGCUCUGUUUUCUGUUAGUUGUAAUAGAAUACCUGAAAUUUGGCUGGGUGCGGUGGCUCGUGCCUGUAAUCCCAACACUUUGGGAGGCUGAUGCAGGUGGAUCAUUUGAGACCAGGAGUUUGUGACCAGCUCAGCCAACGUGGUGAAACCCUAUCUCUACUGAAAUAUAAAAACAAAGCCGGGCAUGGUCAUGCAUGCCUGUAAUCCCAGCUACUUGGGAUGCUGAAGCAUGGGAAUUACUUGAACUGGGAGGUCGAGGCUGCAGUGAGCCAAGAUUGCCCCCCCUGCAUUCCAGCCUGCGCAACAGAGCAAGACUGUUUCCAAAAACAAAAAAACAAAAAACCCUGAAUUUGGGUUAAUAUAUAAAAAAUACGCUCUCCCUCUCCCCCUCCCCACGGUCUCCUUCUCCCUCUCUUUCCACGGUCUCCCUCUGAUGCCCAGCCGAAGCUGGACUGUACUGCUGCCAUCUUGGCUCACUGCAACCUCCCUGCCUGAUUCUCCUGCCUCAGCCUGCCGAGUGCCUGCCAUUGCAGGCGCGUGCCGCCACGCCUGACUGGUUUUCGUAUUUUUUUGGUGGAGACGGGGUUUUGCUGUGUUGGCCGGGCUGGUCUCCAGCUCCUAACCGCAAGUGAUCCGCCAGCCUCGGGCCUCCGGAGGUGCCGGGAUUGCAGAGGGGAGUCUCGUUCACUCAGUGCUCAAUGGUGCCCAGGCUGGAGUGCAGUGGCGUGAUCUCGGCUCGCUACAACCUCCACCUCCCAGCCGCCUGCCUUGGCCUCCCAAAGAGCCAAGAUUGCAGCCUCUGCCUGCCCGCCACCCCGUCUGGGAAGUGAGGAGCGUCUCUGCCUGGCCGCCUAUCGUCUGGGAUGUGAGGAGCCCCUCUGCCUGGCUGCCCAGUCUGGAAAGUGAGGAGCGUCUCUGCCCGGCCGCCAUCACAUCUAGGAAGUGAGGAGCGCCUCUUCCUGGCCGCCA
rnacentral:lncRNA from 1 species